CACUAAACAGUUGCAUAGCAUAGUUGAGGUCACCCCCAGGAACGAUUAAGAUUGACACUUAGCAUGUGAAAAUCCGAUCAUUAGAACAAAAGUUAUUCAGGGUGAUAUCUUUUUUUUUCUGCCCACUGUGCAUAGUAGUAGAGGUCAAUCUGUAUUUGUCAUACAUCUCCUUCAUAUAUCACUGUUAUAAAUAGUUAAUGUCAACAAGUCAAUAAAUAAUUUUGUUAGUGUUUAAUUGCUAAGCUUAAAACUAAUGUGCUUUAAUAUUUUUCUGCAGGAAAUAUUGAUGCGAGAGAUAUUGUUGAUGGGAACAGGGAGAAAACUCUUAGCUUGCUAUGGCAAAUCAUAUUCAAAACUCAGAUUUCUAAAUUGCUGAACAAAGAAAUACUGAUGAAAGAAAAUGCUUACCUGAAGCGUCUUUUGCAAUUAAAGGCUGAUUAUGCUGCAUUCAGUGCCUUUGAGGAAUCUAAACCAGAAAAUUGUGAUUUGUCUU